GAUGAACGCUGGCGGCGUGCCUAAUACAUGCAAGUCGAGCGAACAGACGAGGAGCUUGCUCCUCUGACGUUAGCGGCGGACGGGUGAGUAACACGUGGAUAACCUACCUAUAAGACUGGGAUAACUUCGGGAAACCGGAGCUAAUACCGGAUAAUAUAUUGAACCGCUUGGUUCAAUAGUGAAAGACGGUUUUGCUGUCACUUAUAGAUGGAUCCGCGCCGCAUCAGCUAGUUGGUAAGGUAACGGCUUACCAAGGCAACGAUGCGUAGCCGACCUGAGAGGGUGAUCGGCCACACUGGAACUGGGACACGGUCCAGACUCCUACGGGAGGCGGCAGGAGGGAAUCUUCCGCAAUGGGCGAAAGCCUGACGGAGCAACGCCGCGUGAGUGAUGAAGGUCUUCGGAUCGUAAAACUCUGUUAUUAGGGAAGAACAAAUGUGUAAGUAACUAUGCACGUCCUGACGGUACCUAAUCAGAAAGCCACGGCUAACUACGUGCCAGCCGCCGCUGUAA
rnacentral:rRNA from 1 species